UCGAUUCCCUUAGUAGCGGCGAGCGAAACGGGAAGAGCCCAAACCAACAAGCUUGCUUGUUGGGGUUGUAGGACACUCUAUACGGAGUUACAAAGGACGACAUUAGACGAAUCAUCUGGAAAGAUGAAUCAAAGAAGGUAAUAAUCCUGUAGUCGAAAAUGUUGUCUCUCUUGAGUGGAUCCUGAGUACGACGGAGCACGUGAAAUUCCGUCGGAAUCUGGGAGGACCAUCUCCUAAGGCUAAAUACUCUCUAGUGACCGAUAGUGAACCAGUACCGUGAGGGAAAGGUGAAAAGCACCCCGGAAGGGGAGUGAAAUAGAACCUGAAACCGUGUGCUUACAAGUAGUCAGAGCCCGUUAAUGGGUGAUGGCGUGCCUUUUGUAGAAUGAACCGGCGAGUUACGAUUUGAUGCAAGGUUAAGCAGUAAAUGUGGAGCCGUAGCGAAAGCGAGUCUGAAUAGGGCGUUUAGUAUUUGGUCGUAGACCCGAAACCAGGUGAUCUACCCUUGGUCAGGUUGAAGUUCAGGUAACACUGAAUGGAGGACCGAACCGACUUACGUUGAAAAGUGAGCGGAUGAACUGAGGGUAGCGGAGAAAUUCCAAUCGAACCUGGAGAUAGCUGGUUCUCUCCGAAAUAGCUUUAGGGCUAGCCUCAAGUGAUGAUUAUUGGAGGUAGAGCACUGUUUGGACGAGGGGCCCCUCUCGGGUUACCGAAUUCAGACAAACUCCGAAUGCCAAUUAAUUUAACUUGGGAGUCAGAACAUGGGUGAUAAGGUCCGUGUUCGAAAGGGAAACAGCCCAGACCACCAGCUAAGGUCCCAAAAUAUAUGUUAAGUGGAAAAGGAUGUGGCGUUGCCCAGACAACUAGGAUGUUGGCUUAGAAGCAGCCAUCAUUUAAAGAGUGCGUAAUAGCUC
rnacentral:rRNA from 1 species